AUACCAUGAUGCAGACACUUCCUUAACAACUCUUUGAAUCUCUCCCAUACAUCAUACAAUGAUUCCCUUUCUUUUUGGUAGAAAUUAUUAAUUUCAUCAACUUUGGAGCUU